rnacentral:rRNA from 1 species
UACAGAGACUGCAAGCGUUAUUCGGAUUCACUGGGCGUAAAGGGUGCGCAGGCGGCCAAGUGUGUGAGGCGUGAAAGCCUGGGGCUUAACUCCAGAAUUGCACCUCAAACUACAUGGCUAGAGCAUUGGAGAGGGUAGCGGAAUUCACGGUGUAGCAGUGAAAUGCGUAGAUAUCGUGAGGAACACCAGAGGCGAGGGCGGCUACCUGGACAAUUGCUGACGCUCAAGCACGAAAGCGUGGGGAGCAAAAGGG